GUAGUUGAACCUUGGGCCUGGCUGGCCGGUCCGCCUCACCGCGUGCACUGGUCCGGCCGGGUCUUUCCCUCUGGGGAGCCCUAUGCCCUUCACUGGGUGUAGUGGGGAACCAGAACUUUUACUGUGAAAAAAUUAGAGUGUUCAAAGCAGGCCUAUGCUCGGAUACAUUAGCAUGGAAUAAUAGAAUAGGACGUGUGGUUCUAUUUUGUUGGUUUCUAGGACCGCCGUAAUGAUUAAUAGGGAUAGUCGGGGGCAUCAGUAUUCAAUUGUCAGAGGUGAAAUUCUUGGAUUUAUUGAAGACUAACUACUGCGAAAGCAUUUGCCAAGGAUGUUUUCAUUAAUCAGGAACGAAAGUUAGGGGAUCGAAGACGAUCAGAUACCGUCGUAGUCUUAACCAUAAACUAUGCCGACUAGGGAUCGGACGGUGGUAUUAUACUGCCCCGUUCGGCACCUUACGAGAAAUCAAAGUUUUUGGGUUCUGGGGGGAGUAUGGUCGCAAGGCUGAAACUUAAAGG
rnacentral:rRNA from 1 species